rnacentral:lncRNA from 1 species
AGGACUCAGCAGCAGAGAGGGCCUUGCACCAGCGCUCCGCUCUGUUCCAGAAAAUAUCCUAUUUCUGACCAUCAAUCAGCAUUAAGCCAGUUUGGGGGCUGAGCUUUAGGCACAGGCAGUUGCCAGUAGCAACAGGGCACACGCUCCUGGUGAGCUGGGCGGGAGGUGGCAACAAGGGAGGGGCCGCCUGGGCAAGUGGCCUGCAGCUGGGCAGACAAGGUCAGGGAUCUCCCCUACACGCGCAAGGGAGGCAGUGCGGAGGGUGGGGGAGGGGGGAUCGUGGCAUUAGGUGGGGACAGGCGCGCCCUGCUGGGGCCGGGCCAGGGAGUGGCCCAGGCCUCUGACCUCGCUGGGGAGCAGGGAGGGAGUUUUCCCAGUGGCACAGCUAUGCCCCUGCCAAACCCAAUGGCCUCCCGGCCCGGGAAAGGCGCCACUCCAGUGGCCCCUAGACACUGGAGUCAAGGCCAAGCGACAGGAGAGGCGCUGGCCCUCUGCUUGGGAGGACCACAGAACUCAAGAUCUGCCCCUCCCCUGCAGCCCCUUUACGCCCCCACCCUUUAGGAGUCUCUGGAAGAUGCCAACGUGGAAGUGUUUCUGCACGUGUGUGUGUUUUCAUUUGUGCUUCCCACACAAAAGCGAGGCCCCACAGGUGGAGAGGAGGGCGUGUGUGCGCGCCUGUAGAGCGGGGCUCGGGCUGCGUGGGAGCUGGGCGGGGAUGCGCACACACGGACCGACUCCCACAGACUGUCCCCCUUCAGGUGUCCUGGUGCAGGCUUUCAGGGAAGGGAGAGCCCCUAACCUCGCCCCACCUCCCAAAACUUCUCCCCCUGCCGUCGGGCUAUGGUAAAGGGGAAAGGACAGGACUCAGGACCUUGAGGGAGGCAUUGAGUCAGAGGGCAGAGAGGGGUCAAGGAGACCCAGGCGGGAGGCGCGGAAGCAUACAGUCUGCGGGGACAAGGACUGAACGGGGUAGUGGGAGCCAGGUCCCUGGUUCCCUUCACGCCCCCACCCCCAGCCUCAGCUCUGUCUGGGUGGAACGAAUGUCUGCUAAUGAACUAAACAAACAGGUCUCUUAAUCUUAUCAUGGAGCUGACCCAGAGACUGGCACAGAUAUCCAAAGUAUCAUAAUUGGCAGGUCAGAAUUAAAACUACAUACAUCAUGGUGACUUUAUAGCUGAGGCAAAGUGGAGCUCAAGUGUUACUUUCCCAGUAAGCAAAUCAUAAUGAAGUAUCAUGCUGGUGACUAAUUUAACUAACAUUGUCCAGGAAAUUGCUGUUGUCCAGGAAGAGAAGAGUUGAGCCGAGUGUCAACUACUAGGCUUCUGGCACCAUCCUGCACAAGAAAUUGGAGCAUAAGGGACAUUUCCACAUUCUAACUUUACAUGAAGACUCAGGACUUUGAAAGCCCAUGAGAAAGUUUUCAUAAGGAUUUAUCCACAAUUUCUUCUUUGAUUUGCUCAGAUGUGAAGCAGGAAACCUUCCAGACAUCCUGAACCUCUGAACUUUUUGUGGAUUGCCCAUCAACACAGGCAAACAUUCAUGAAGCAAUUCAAAAAUCUCUUCUCACUGCAUUAUAAGCAUGUCCUUACGUUAUUCAUAUAUCAAGAGCAUGCCCAUUCCCAACCCACAAUGGAAUGUGAGCCUAAUUACAUGUUCCUUUGGAAUAAGAUCUCACCAGCCCAGGAGUGUCAGAAACCCUCUAUCAUAUAUACGUAUCUUGUUUCCAAAAUGAUCUUCCCAAGCCACCCUAACAGGCCCCCUUCAGAAUGCUUCCUGCUGACAAGUGAAUCUGCUUUUUGCCUUUCACCCAAUCUCAGCUCAUGCUUUCUCUGUGAAAAUAUCACAGACCACAUCUGACAGUGGUCCAGCUAAUUAAUGUACUCCAAUGUCUAGCAAGCAUUUGACAGGAAAAAUAAUCUAUACAGUAUUUAUUGCAAAAUCUUCACCAAUGUGACAAAGAUGAAUGUAAACUUUACAUAAUCAUUUUUCAUUUGUUAUCCAAAGUUGAAAGUGAUUUUCAAAUGCUAACUUUAAAAUUAUGAUGAGGAAGAUAACAGCUCUGCUUUAAAACUGCUUGGCAAUGGAAUUUCUAUAGUAUAAUGGUUUAGCAAUGAGCUAGAAAAAUAAACUCUCUUGCUAAUGUAGUAAAUGGGCCAGAAAUAAACUUCUCAGGGAUUUGGGUGGUGGGGUGGGGUGAGGGAGGGGCACACAGAGGGGAUAGUGGAAUUGGAUUUCUGGAAUAAAUGAUCUGAAACCCUUAGCACACUAUAUCUUCAAAAAGCAAUGUCUUCCUUUAUAUAAUGCACGUAUCACCAUCACGAUACGAGAGCAACUCGAAGAAUCUUAACGUAUACCACGGUAAACACCUACGGCACCCAACUCAGUCUACAGCAGGACACCCAAAAGUUAAAUUCACUUUGGCUGUGGCUGUGCUCCAGGUACAUAUUUUCUCAUGAGCUUUGUUUCUUUGUUCUAGAACCAUCCUUCCCAAUAUUCCUUAACAUUGAAAUUAUACAUGUUAAAUUAAUUAUUGUUCAUUUAACUGAUGAGCUGAAACUCACGUCCUUCCUUUUGAAAGCUAAAGUAAUCUUCUAAUAAAAGGUCAGGAAUUAUCAAAUUUACUUGUAAUUAUUACUAAUUCUUCUGUGACUUCUUUUUUUUUUUUUUGAGGUGGAGUCUUGCUCUGUCGCCCAGGCUGGAGUGCAGUGGCACGAUCUCGGCUCAUUGCAAGCUCCACCUUCUGGGUUCACACCAUUCUCCUGCCUCAGUCUCCUCAGCAGCUGGGAUUACAGGCGCCCACUACCAUGCCAGGCUAAUUUUUUUUGUAUUUUUUAGUAGAGACGGGGUUUCACUGUUAACCAGGAUGGUCUCGAUCUCCUAACCUCGUGAUCCGCCUGCCUCGGCCUCCCAAAGUGCUGGGAUUACAGGCGUGAGACACCACGCCCGGCCUCUUCUGUGACUUCUUAACCACAAAUAAAGUCUUGGCCUUGGAAAAAGGAAGAUCUGAAACAGAACAAGGCAAUUAAAAAGUGGGUGGAGGAAGUAUAGGAGUAGUGGAGAAAAAAGAAAGGAAUGGAUUUUCUAAAUUUAAAACACUCUUUGCCCUUUCCUGAAAUAAUGACUUAUAUUCUUUGAGUUCACAAGAGAGUAAUUGGAUAUGCAUGAUGCAAUGCUGGAAUUUUAGGUAUUUUGCCUAAAGGUUAUUAACAAUUAGUACCACUAGGGGAAAAAUCAUAAAGUUAGUUAGAAUAACAACCCUCUCUCAAAGGAUAAUGAAAACUGGACUUGUAAUCUGGUCAUAAUAAAAAUAUAUUAUGUUUAUAUUGGAGCCUCACAUGUCAAGAGGAAAACUCACAAACUAGAAUAUGUCCAACAGGUGGCCAUGACUAAAUGAAGACUGAAAAACAAGUUGUAUGAGGACCAAUGAAGGAAUCUUCCUUUGAAGCAGUAAAGACUGCGAAAAAAAACAUGAAAAACUGUCUUUAGAUAAAUCCUUUAACAGGAAUGGUACACAGAACAGGGAGAUGUUAUAAGUGGAGCUACUGAUGACAGCAUUAGAGCCAAAGGGUGAAAGGCAGAUGUUGAGUCAUUCAAUAGAAGAGGUGUCUGAUCUCUUCCUAUCCAAUGUAGCAGAAUCCAUCCCAUACUAUAUCUGAAAGAUGACCACUUUGCUUUGACAUUUGCAGUGGUACAGAACUCACUAUCUCAAGAAUACCUUCCUCGGGAUGGUAAUAAGUAUGAGAAAUGCCCUUUCUAGUUCUAAAUUUCUUCUCCACAAGACAACUCAUUCCAUUUUCAAACAAUUAUUAGAUCUAUCCAUCUCUUAGUCUUCUAUUUGUCAAGCAAACAUCUCCAAUUCCUCACAUCAUUAUUAAUUCAGUAUUGUGAACCUUGUACCAUUUUAGUCACCAGCUUUGUGGAUAAUCUUUGGAUUGUAGUGUCUGUAACUGACAUCCAAAUUAAGUGCUCUUGAUAUGGUCUAACUAGCAACUGACCCCAUCCAUAUUUCUAUUUCCAAAGCAGAGAAACAAGAAAAUCAAUUGGCCAAUAUAACUGAAUAAAUCCAGGUAAAUACAUAUUUGGCUUUCAAUUAGUCAGGAAGUCUGAAUUUCUAGAGGAUAUUGAAGAUACAGCAUCAGACAAUGCAUUUGUCUGAUUGCUGACAACUUUUAAUUUCCCUGUUCAAGAAAAUCGAUCAAUGUGUGUUAGCUAAACACCUGUUAUGUUCAACCCUGUGUUAGUCAUCAUUUGAUGUGUAACAGAAGUGUAAGGCCAGGUACCUACAAUAUUUGUAGAGUCAAUACUAAGGUACAUGAAAUAAUUUUAGAGUUUUUACAAGAUAUACAUCAUUAUGUAUACUUAUAUGAAAUAGUCUCAAGUUCAGCAGGGAAGACUGGGCCCAGGUGGGCUGAGGAAUGCAUGUGAAGAGGUAGGGAGGCAGGAAACUUGAAGGAUGGUUAGGGCUUGUCUAUUUGGAAUGGAGAGAGAGGCCACAAAGGAGUGCGUGUGUAGAAAUAAUGAGUAAUAAAGGAGGUCAAGGUUAGUAGGGACGUGUGUGGUUACAAAUAGAAAUAUUUGGAUUUGUACCAUAACAUUUCUAUUACAACUUCCUUUCUCCCAUUCCAAACAUGCUUGGUUUUACAGAAAAAACUUCCAGGACUCAGAUUUCCAUGGGUAUUAGUUUGCAAACUAAUCCCUGAUGAGAUAUUAUGAGGAGCUAAGAGAGUGAUGCUAGAAUUCUCAAGUGGCAAUGGCAAAUUUCAGGGCUGACUUCCUGGAUAACCAAUUCUUUUUUUUUAUUCUGAGCAUGGGAAUUUCAGUUCAUCCAGCAGAAGAAAUGUUUUUUGAUAGAUGUGACUUUUGGUACAUUUUGAAUUAUGUCAUCUUGGGGACAAAUGGUCCCAAAAGCCAAGGUCCUAAAUGUGUACAUCUGAUCCAACUCUAAGAACUUUUGCUCAGUUGUGACGUCAAAGAAUUUCUAUUUUAGAGUGGUCUUCUGCAACUGAUACCAUCCAUAUUUCUGUCUCCAAAGCAGAGAAACAAGAAAAUCAAUUUGCCAAUAUAACUGAAUAAAUCCAGGUAAAUACAUAUUUGGCUUUCAAUUAGCCAGGGAGUCUGAAUUUCUAGAGAAUAUUGAAGAGACAGCGUCAGACAAUGCAAUUUCCUUUAAUAGGGACCAUAACCUCAGAGUUGCUGCUCUGUUUUUUAAUAUUGUACAAUUAACUUUUUUUUUUUUUGCAGCACACUCUGCUUAUAGCUUCUGUGGAAACUUAAACAUUAUUCAAUAGAAUAAUUUCCUGGAAAAUCUUUUGAAAGUGGUCACAGCCCUGACCUUGCUCUGGUGCCCUGGGUCCACCAGCAUGCUGUUUCAUUACCUCAGGAAGGUUUGGUGCCAAGAGACAGUCCAAGAGUUAGUGCAUAAAGAAAGCUAGGUUCAUAAAAGAAUUAAUAUCUGCCUUCUUUCAAGGAGGGAAACUGCCACUUCCAACCAUUUUAUGCAUCUAUCACUUCUCUUCUAUCUUCAUCAUUCAACCCUUCAACUGGCCUACCUAGAUGACAGGUAAAAAUUAUAGAUUUUUAACUCUUAAGAAAUAACUGCCGAAGUCAUUUCUUCCAAACCAUUCUCAUUACCAAUGGGAAACUCAGGCCCAGAAAGCCUAAAUGACUUUUGCAAGACCACAGAGUAAGUAGCAGAGUCAGGACUUAAACUCCACAUUGCAGAAGAUGAACCAGGGAUGAUAUUUUUAAAACUUAGCAAUGGUAUGACAAAAUCACCAAACAGUUAGAAUAGAGCCUCUGAUUGUACUGGUGUGCCAUUAAAUACCAGCCCCAACUGGAUUACAGUGUAUAUCAGUAAUACUUUAAGGGAUAAAGAGAAAAAAUGUGCCACUUACUAUCAAGCUAUUUAAAGGAGCUAGGUAAUAAAAUAAUCAUAAUUUAUUUUUACUGUUGGUUCUUCCCUUUUUCAUCUUUUUGCCUUUUUUUUCCAUUGUCUUUCUUGUUACUAAUCCUGUGAAAAUUCACCCUCUGUUUGGCAGCCCGGGUCAUUGUUAUUUGUGCUAAGCUCCUAUAUUAUUAGUCUGUUAUCAUAUUGCCAUAAAAAAACUACUUGAAGCCAGGCGAGGUGGCUCAUGUCUGUAAUCCUAGCACUUUGGGAGGCCGAGGCAGGCAGAUCACUUGAGGUCAGGGGUUUGAAACCCGACUGGCCAACAUGGUGGAACCCUGUCUCUACUAAAAGUACAAAAAUUAGCUGGAAAUUGCUUGAACCCAGGAGGUGAAGGUUGCAGUGGGCCGAGAUCGUGCCACUACACUCCAGCCUGGGCAACAGAACAAGAGUCCGUCUCCAAAAAAAAUAAAAACAAACAAACAAACAAACAAACAAAAAAAAACAGCACAACUACUUGAGACUGGGUGAUUUAUACAGAAAAAAACAUUUUAUUGAUUCACAGUUCCAUAGGCUGUAUAGGAAGCAUGGGUGGGGAGGCCUCAGGAAACUUGCAAUCAUGGUGGAAGCCAAAGCAGGCACAUCUUACAUGGCCAGAGGAAGAAGCAAGCAAAGGUGGAGGUGCUACACACUUUUCAACCACCAGAUCUCAUGAGAACUCACGCACUAUCACGAGAACAGCAAGGGGGAAAUUCACCUUCAUGAUCCAGUCACCUCCCACUGGGCCCCUCCUCCAAUUCUGGGGAUUAUAAUUCCACAUGAGAUUUGGGCAGGGACACAAAUCCAAACCAUAUAAGCUCCAUUCUGCAUUCAAGUGUAUGUUGGUCUUGCCAAAAUUAUCAAUACCUUCUCCGUAAAUACCACUUUCAAGCCUUGUAGGUUAAGCCCUGAUUAUGUUUGUAAAAGUAGCUUGAUCUACAUGUCUACAAUUGUUCUCUAAUUUGCUUUAUCCAAAUGGAAAAAAAAACACACAAUAUUUUAGGCCUUGAUUUUCAUCAUGAAUUUUUAAAAAUCUAAAAUUGCCUCUUCAUUGUGUUAUUUCAAAAUCAUGAGAUAUCCUUUCAUUGCUUCUACUGAUAAGGUUGUUUGUAACUCAAAAUCAUAAUUGGUAGAUCAACAGAAUAAAAUUAUGAGAUACAAAUAUACAUUUGAUUAUUAUUGCUACUGGUUAGAGCCUUCACUAUGACAUGCAGUGACAUGCUCACAGAAAUGACAAGCCCUAAAACUUCUUGCUUUUUGGUUAAACACUUUAUGAUUAAACAUUUCAAUCUUUAAACUUUCUAAUAGUAUCUUGAAAUUGUGUAUCUCAUUUUAACAUUUUUAAGCCACUUAGACAAAUGACUUUUUGCCAUGCUUGCUUGACUUUUUUUCUUGCAUGGACUUACAGAUAAAGGUGGUCUCAUCCCUAAUGAACAUAUGAGGCCACAAGAAUUUCUCCUUUUUUUUUUUUUUUUUUUUUGUUGUUGUUGUUGUUUAUUUUUGAUACAGGGUCUUGCUCUGUCACCCAGGCUGGAGUACAGUGGCAGGAACAAAGCUCACUGCAGCCUCAGAGUCCUGGACUCAAACCAUACUCCCACCUCAGCCUCCUGAGUAGCUGAGACCCAGGAGCACUCACCACUUCCAGCUAAUUUUUUGUAGAGACAGGAUCUUAAACUCCUGGGUUCAAGCAGACUGCCCACCUCUGUCUCCCAUGUGCUGUGAUUACAGGAGUGAGCCACCAUGCUUGGACAGUUUCUCCUCUUGAAUCAUCAACAGUCCCUGUAAAGUCUCAAGAAAAGUGUUUGGAGUAUCCAUAAUGUGCUAAGUCACUUAGGAACAAAGUUACACAAAACACAUCCCCAGUUUUUGUCUCUAUGCUUUCAAGAUGGGUGAAACUUUAUGUUUGAAGUUUCAUGUUUUAUGCCAAGCAUGAUGAGAGAUAGAGGAAUGGGAAGACUUGGUCUUACAGGUUAAAGAUGUGAAACAUACAAAACAUGCUCUCAUGAGAUAAUUAGACAAACAAGUCAGUGUGAUUGAGAGCAACAUGCUGGGAACUGGUUUAGAGGCUCCUGGAGGUAAGGACAGAGUCACUGUUACAUGUUUGGGGUAUUUUGCUGAAGCAUCGCAGAGGCAGCAUUGUCCUCGUCAACAGGAGAUGGGGCGGGAGGAAAGGAGAGCAGAGGGCUGCAACCAAAGCAACCCAGGGUCCAGGUGACAGAUCUCCCCUAUUGGUAAAAUGUGAUUCAUGUGGUAGCACCGCACUGGGAGCUUCAGUACCUUUAACUUUCUCUCUCAGGCUUUUACACCUGGUGAACGUCUAGAAUAACUGCCACAGAAAAUACAUCUAUGACAUUUAAUCACUGAGUGUUCGAGAGAAGGCAAAGCCCGGACACCAAGUAAGCCAGGUACCCCUGAGGCAAACUCCAGAGGCUUCCCUGGGCCGUGAAACCAGCCAAAGAAGGCAAAAUUCACCCACCCUCCAAAAGACGUUUGCGUUCCCACGCAUGUUCUCCGCCCUGAGAUAGCUUAGAACACAGCUCUACCAACGACUUUUCAUUUCCAUUAACCUAUUCCUGAUUCUUUGAUUCAAGGAACCUUGCCAUCCUUAGCUCUUUGGAUUAUUUAUGAGGUCUGAUUUAUAAUACAAAAUUAUACAGUGUACCAUAGUUAAAACCUUGAAGGAAAAAAUGCAUUUUGUAUUUCUUCUUCUUGGAGAGGCCCAAACACCCCUCCCCAGGGUUGGAAAGGAGAGUGGAGGUAGGGUAAUGGAACUCCCUCUCAGGCCUCUGAAUAUGGAGAAAUUAAGAAGAAUGGGAUGGGGUUGGGGGACAGAGGUAGUAAGCAAACAAAUGACUUAUUUUUAAUCUAGAGUUACCCAUUUGGAGAGAGAUACAGGGUUAUAUCCUAACGGUACCUUUUUAAAAAAUAAGUCAUAAGUAUGCUCAUGCCCUAACAAGUUAGUGAAUUUUUCCAGUAAAAUUAAAAUUAAAUAGAAAGCCAUGGUAAAUUACCCAUUUCAUUUCUCCUUCUAGAUUUAAAAAAAAAAAAAGAGGCACUUUGUCGCUUCUUACUGUGAGUGCACUUCAGCCUUAAUACAUGCAUUUAUGUCAAGGGGGCCAUUUACACUGUUGUCUGCUGGAGUUUUUCUUCUUUCAACUUAGUAGGGAAUAUUUGUAAUCUUUAUUACCCCAAAUAAAUCUACAAAAUGCCUUUUGCUUGAGGCCUUUUAUUUUAAUUUCAGAUAAAUAAAUCACAUUAGGUUCCUGGCUGUCAUAUUAAGAUAAGCAUGGAUCUAAAAAUAACAAAAGUGUGUUUUAAGCUAAUGUCUUUAGAUUAAAUAGUGGUAAAUUUCUCUGGGUGACCCCCAAAUCGUAUUGAUGUUGGGAUAUUUUUUGGUACUUUUGGAGUGUUUCUUGAAGAAUAUAAACCUGUUUAAACUAGAAGUGGAGUUUUUAAGUCAUGUAUGGGCCUACUUGUACAGUAUUAUUCAAAUCCAAGCUUCUUGCGGUGGCAGUAAAUCUAUCUUUUAAGUACGAAUAUUUCCCCAGUUACAUUAGGGAUCAAUUUUAUAUCUUUGUUGGUUAAUAGUGACUCCAUCUAUACAGUGGUUUAUUUAUUAACUAUAAAGAUCCUAGUCCUGAAUUUCUCGUCAUCCUCUGUACUGUUAGAGCUUAAAGUCUUAAAGACAAUUCAAAUUCAAUGUAUUCCAUUACUGACUCUUCAUCAGCCCUCACUCCAAUUCUGCUCCUAAUCAAGCCUUGGUUCAAAAUGCCACCUCCUCUGGGAAGCCUUCUUUGGACUUCUGCAGGACAGAGUCUCCUAAAAUGUGUUUUAUAGAACCCCCUCCAUCCCUCAAUGCCCCAGUGGAAUAAUCUUGAUAAAUGUGAAAUGUUUCUUGCAAACAAGGUUUAGAGUGAAGAGGAAGGGAUAAACUCCCAAGGUUAGGACCUAAAUAUAUGUUCUAUGAUGAAUUAAAGAACAGUGGGCAGAUUUGAUAAGAAACAGGAAAUCACAGAUAGAAAGUGAGUGCAGAGUUUUACCCUGACCCUUUUUGUGUCUCCUUGCCCCAGAAAACCUGGAUUCAAACUCUAGGCACCCCCUAAUUAGACACAUGCAUAUCACAUACAGGUGACCUAAGUAAACUAUAAUGAAGAUCGAUCCCAAGGUGCAAGGUGAUAUCUUCUGGGUGAUCUGGUUCAAUCAAACCAGAUGUCUUUCUGGACGUAGUUCUACUAAACCCUGUUGUUGCUGGAAGAAAGGUUCUUGGAAGACAGUGAUGUUAUUUCAUCAGGGGCUUCAUGGUUAUAAGAAGCCUGAACACUCCCUUGCUUCUCUAAAGUAUGACCAGCAGUCUAUAAUAAGUAUCCUUUGGUGGAUAGCUUAUCCCAUAGCUCUCCCUACGACCGUUCAGGAAUAACAUAACCAUUGAAGCAUGUGGCAAUACCCAAUUUCGAGAGCCCUGGUUUCAUCUCCCUUGUGCUGGACAGAGGGCAUAGCUGAGAGGCCAGACUCUUAUCCUGGCAGGGGUCUGGGACUGUCUGCAUCUCUGAAACAACUCCUGGUGGGUAAUUGGGGAGUGACAUUUGAUGGGUUUCCAGGGUGGCUCUGGGGUCUGCACUUGGCUGAGAAUACAGCUAUGAUUUAGAAAUUCAUCCCAAGGGUUGAGAACAGGGAAAGAUAAUGUGAGGCACGCUAGCCCUGGUCUCCUUUGACCUCAGCAGGGUGAAUCAGGGAUGCAGAACAGGAAACCAUGUGCUGUUAUUGAGUUGGCAUAGCGUGAUGUUUUGCUUUCAGAGCUUUUAUUGCUAUUACAGAGCACUGAGCUCUCUCUUUGUUUGCUACACAUUCUCUCCCCAAGAGACAGCCUCUUUUCCUCUUGAGGGAUUUAAAAAACAAAUCAUAGUUCUUAUUUUAUUCAGUGUCCACCAUUAAGAAUUCAUGCAGAGCAAUUUUACUUGUUGCCAAUUAAGAGCUCCCAGUGGAGGUCUAUGAUUACAGUGAAGGCAACCUGUUUAAUACUCGGCGUCCCCUUAGUCUACAUAAAUUAACCCCAUGAGGAUAGAGGCAUGCUAAUUCUUAAGAUGCCUGGAUGAUAGGAUUCUUAGAUACAGGAUACACAGAAGGUACAUCUUCAAGAGGCUCUGGGCCUGACUCUUCUCAGAGAGCAUGUCGGCUUUUUCUUCUUACCUGUAUUUUACAACUACAAGAUAAUUUCUAGAUAACAUUUUAGCAAAGAAUAUUUCUUCCUCAAGGAUAGAAUAAUGGCAUGUGGCCUCGCAGCAAGCAAUUUCUCUCUCUCAAUUUAGAGCUGGAGGGAACGUUAGAGGCACCAGGGCCAUUAACCUCUAGCUAAAAAUGUAUAGAUAUAUCAAAAUUAUGGAGAACAUGAAUGAGCAUUUUGAGCAUGGAUCAUUUUAUUUCAAUGUUCACUCUACUUAGUUAAGACAUAUUUGAAUCAUAAGGAGAAUGAAAGCAAAGUUUUUACCCAAUGUUUUCCUAUUUCUGUUCUUAGAAUAAGAAUCACAUGCAAGCCAGAAAGGAAAGGUAAAAUUCCAUUUUAAAAAUCUUGGAUAUAUAAAAGUAAUUAUCUUUUUUUUGCUAGAAGGGAUGAGCCUUAGAGGAUCUUCUUCUGACUAGGGACUAUACAUGCUUUAAAAAUUAGUCUUUUACUCCCCCUGGUGAUGUAGGAAACCAUCAGUUCCCCCGCCUUGGGAAGCAAGAGUUAAGUCUUUUACUUGGGCAAAUGGUUUGUAAUCAGUAGUUUAGAUUCUUGGAAGUUUGUACUGAGGCUUUGACUUCCCCUCAGGAAAUUAGUGAGGAACUUGGGAUUGAGGUUCCUACAGGUUGACUUUCCCCUUUUACCAACAACCCAGACUCUUUUCCCCUUUUACCAACAACUCACUGCUAGAUGCCCUUAAGUCACCCAGCCCAGUACCAGUGAAGCAGGUGGUACAAGUCAUAUGUAUUCUAUAUUUGGAUAGCAGUUAGAUAGAUCACCACUUCCCUCGAUAUGUUCCUUGAACCUUAGAGUAGAUGCUCUAAGACAGAUAGGAUUUGGAGUUUUAUUUUUAAAGUAAAAAAUAAAAUUUUAUAUCCAAUAUUUGCAUAUACGCAGCACAUGUUAGCAGGAUUAAUGGCUCUGAGAAGUUCUACAAUUAAAACAAAAUGUUUAAGACUUGGUUUUACCUAAAAUUUUAAAAAUUUAUUUGACCAUGGAGUACCCUCAUUUUUCUUAAAAUAUCUAUGACAUAGUGACGCAGAGUAUUGGUGUUUCUUGGAAUAUACUCAGGAAAAUGCUUGCAUAGAUUAUUUAGACCACUGAUGCUCAACUGUGAGAGGGGACGACUUUGUCCCUUAGGGAAUCCUUGAAAUAUGCCCAGAGACAUUUUUGUUGUCACAACUGAGGGAUACUACUGGCAGGUGGUGUGAAAGCCAGGGAUCAUCCUAAACAUCCUCCCCUACAAUGAAGAAUUGUCUGGCCCCAAAUGUCGACAGUGCCUUGGUUGAGAAACCCUAGUGCAGAUAUAGCUUGUUCAAAUGAGGCUUAGGUGAUCUGGAAUCCGUGGUUGGUAGCUGGCACUCUGCAUUCAGAUUUUGUCAUUUGAUUUUGAUCAUGGAGACCUAUUACUCAUUCUUCAUUACCUUAAGGUUUUUGAUAAAACUGUCACCAAUUUGACUUAUGAAAAUUUGAAAUAAAGAUGCUAACAGUCCUUUCCUGAAACAAGCCCCUCCUUGGCUGGGGACCAAACCAACUGCCCUUAUAACACUAACAAAUUAGCCAACAAGAUUAGAAAUUAUGGCUCAGGAGUCAUGCAGCCAGAGGCCGCAAGAUUCCUCACAUGUCCAGCUGCUCCUGUGGGUAACAUCAUUAUGGUAAAACCAAAGAUUGGUAUUUGAGG